AAUUGACGGGGCCCGCACAAGCGGUGGAGUAUGUGGUUUAAUUCGAUGCAACGCGAAGAACCUUACCUGGCCUUGACAUCCCGGGAAUUUCCUGGAAACAGGAGAGUGCUUUCAUUAGAGAGAACCUGGAGACAGGUGCUGCAUGGCUGUCGUCAGCUCGUGUCGUGAGAUGUUGGGUUAAGUCCCGCAACGAGCGCAACCCUUGCCUUUAGUUGCCAGCAGUUCGGCUGGGCACUCUAAAGGGACUGCCGGUGUCAAACCGGAGGAAGGUGGGGAUGACGUCAAGUCCUCAUGGCCUUUAUGGCCAGGGCUACACACGUACUACAAUGGCCGGUACAAAGGGCAGCGACAUUGCGAGAUGGAGCGAAUCCCGAAAAGCCGGUCUCAGUCCGGAUUGGAGUCUGCAACUCGACUCCAUGAAGUUGGAAUCGCUAGUAAUCGUGGAUCAGCAUGCCACGGUGAAUACGUUCCCGGGCCUU
rnacentral:rRNA from 1 species